GCCGCCUUAGCUCAGCUGGUAGAGCGACGCUCUCGUAAAGCGUAGGUCAUCGGUUCGAAUCCGAUAGGUGGCUCCA
rnacentral:tRNA from 1 species